rnacentral:tRNA from 1 species
GAGCGCUUAGCUCAGUUGGUAGAGCAACUGACUUUUAAUCAGUAGGUCCAGGGUUCGAACCCCUGAGCGCUCACCA